GGAUGAAGAACGUAGCGAAAUGCGAUAAGUAAUGUGAAUUGCAGAAUUCAGUGAAUCAUCGAAUCUUUGAACGCACAUUGCGCCCCCCAGUAUUCUGGCGGGCAUGCCUGUUCGAGCGUCAUUUCAACCAUCAAGCCCUGCUUGUGUUGGGGUCCUGCGGCUGCCCGCAGGCCCUGAAAACCAGUGGCGGGCUCGCUAGUCACACCGAGCGCAGUAGCACAUCUCGCUCAGGGCGUGCGGCGGGCUCCAGCCGUUAAAGCACCCACCUUUCGCAAGGUUGACCUCGGAUCAGGUAGGAAUACCCGCUGAACUUAAGCAUAUCAAUAAGCGGAGGA
rnacentral:misc_RNA from 1 species